rnacentral:lncRNA from 1 species
CAACUUAUAUUAUUUACACAGUGAAUAUCAUUGGUUUAGUGUCCCUUCUAAUAUAAGUGCGUUCACUGAGUUUAAUAUAUUAUUUGAUUGUUGUUCAGUAUAGUCGUGGUUAUGUUGAAGGUACUUAUUAUAUUAGGGUUGGUGGGAGUGUCGUGGGCAGGCAUUAUAACUGGUUAUUAUCGCCCUGCUGCUGGUUUCGUACGUUCUCAAGAAUGUCCACCGAACUUGGCGUACAGUAUGCUGGUGCGACGAUGUGUAUCGCGAGAACAAUAUUUCAUGGAAACCUAUUUCGACUACAAUGAUUAUUAAAUUGAUUAAGUACUGAAGAUAUUGUAGUCAGCGUGGUCUGAACAAUAUUGUGCCUUAAUAUGAUAAUAAAAAAUCGUUAAGGAGAACUGAAAACAAUUAAAAUCGCCCACUGAUUUCAUGAUUCAUAUUUUAUAAUUAGAUUAUAUUAUUAAUGUACUCUUACAUAGCGAUAAUAUGUACUUUAAAAAUAAGUAUUAUGUGAAAAGAAGAAGAAUUAAUAAAUAAUUUAGAUUGUGA